AGUGAACGCUGGCGGUAGGCCUAACACAUGCAAGUCGAACGGCAGCACAGUAAGAGCUUGCUCUUACGGGUGGCGAGUGGCGGACGGGUGAGGAAUACAUCGGAAUCUACUUUUUCGUGGGGGAUAACGUAGGGAAACUUACGCUAGUACCGCAUACGACCUACGGGUGAAAGCAGGGGAUCUUCGGACCUUGCGCGAUUGAAUGAGCCGAUGUCGGAUUAGCUAGUUGGCGGGGUAAAGGCCCACCAAGGCGACGAUCCGUAGCUGGUCUGAGAGGAUGAUCAGCCACACUGGAACUGAGACACGGUCCAGACUCCUACGGGAGGCAGCAGUGGGGAAUAUUGGACAAUGGGCGCAAGCCUGAUCCAGCCAUACCGCGUGGGUGAAGAAGGCCUUCGGGUUGUAAAGCCCUUUUGUUGGGAAAGAAAAGCAGCAGGUUAAUACCCCGCUGUUCUGACGGUACCAAAAGAAUAAGCACCGGCUAACUUCGUG
rnacentral:rRNA from 1 species